UACUUUCAUUCCUAGGUGUGCCAAUUCUCUGGAACACUCCUCCCUAGACUAUCUGGAAUAUAUGUGUGUGGAAUUCAGUUCAUCUCUGUUGGUGCUGUACUACACAUGUUGUCCUUUUGCAUUUGCAGAGCGAGAUAAUGGAAUUAUGUUCAGCUAUUUAAAGUCAGAAUUGCCAAAUGUGUACCUUUAAAUGUGUGUCCACCACAAAUACAUUUUUUGUACCAGUGAAUGACAGGAGGAAAAAGGCACGAAUUAAAGGCAACAGCAAACUUCUACUGGAAGACACAAUUACUUUCCUACCAGUAUAUCUCAUUUGGACUUACUAACUACAAAGAGCCUCUCAAUGCAAUCUUAAGAUCCUAGUUCAGAAAAGGUUUCAUGCACAAGCUGUAAACAGGUGACCAAGUUUCAUUAAAGUCAUCAGGAUGUAACAACCCA